rnacentral:lncRNA from 1 species
GAAUCCUUUGAGGGCUCAGAGGACAGUGGUGCCAGCACUCCUAAGGUCCCACCAACCCUUGGGGCAAGAGGGACUUUUUAUCUAAAAGCUGUGUGCUCCAGCGUCCCUGGAGGUCUCUCCACAUCGCAGAGACCCACCAUAGAAGGCAUACCAAGCUGGUGGCACUGGAACCCCAAAGCUUGCCUGCCCCGGGCCUCACAUGCUGUCCAUGCUGAAAGCCUGGAUGAGCUUUCUUCAAAUUCUCUCAGCUCUGCCACCACCUUGAUUCCUGUGUUGCAUGCUGAAAUUGCAAUAACACGCUCUCUGCUGCCUGUUCUUGUCCACCGCACCUCAGCUGCCAGGUUAAUCUCCCGAGAAUGCCGUUAGGACUGGCGCCUUGAUCACCUCACUUGUCAAAUGCGGGGUUCCAGCUCCAUAGAUCAGCAUCUUUAGAGAUCAAAUAAAUCCUUUGGAAUCCUGAAGACCAUUAUCCCCCAAAAUGCGUGUGGCUCAGGGAGACUGCUGGUGGAGAUGGUGUCAGCCCUAGCCUGCCAGGGCUUUGCAGGGCUCAGCCAAGGAGCCAGGCAGUUGUGAACAGCAGCCGCAGCAGCACCCCUCCUAUCUGCUGGUUCACCACAGGAAGUGCUGCUCCAUAUCUGUAUCCAGAUUCAUUCUUCUGCUGAGGACACCCAUGACACCGAGCAAAGUGCCCACUCUCGAUGGGACUUCAGCUUCAUUUGAUUAUGUGGACAAAGAUCUGGUCCCUGCCAAGGUCACACUCCAAGGUCCCAAGAUGGGCGGGAGUUUAGGAACAAAGGGAUUAUUCAGCCUAGUACUGAGCAGGAUGAGAUGAGAAAUCUCAAACAUGAUGCUCAGGGACAGCCUAGAAAUGUCCCCGGAAGCAGAGGACAUGGCAUCUGGAGGUUCUGGUACUAGGCAAGGGCAGGAGCAGAGUCAGCCAUUCUGGGCACCCCCAGCCCUCCUGGAAUCAAGCAGCUGCCUGCUGGCUGCCCUGCUGGGUGGCCAGCUCUGAGAGAGACCCAUGCGCAGACUGGUCCUUGAGGACAAGCCCCAUAAUUACCUCCGGCUGCCAGCACACAGCAUCCACGUCAGUGAUAAGCCGAGCCGGGUGGGAGGUGCACCAGCCCACAGACACCUCAGAGGUGGGCCGGUCCUGCUGACAUCAGCGGCUCUCUGCUUGAGACAGAAGCCCUGGCCAUGCUUUGACAGGAAGAAGAAGACCUUCCCUGGAGGAAACCUGAGCUAGCUGCCCGCUCGAUGCUAGGCAUCUCCGGAGCCCACGGGAAGUUGCUAUCUCCUGAGUGAGAUUUUUGCCUAGAGCUGUUCUGGACAGAUGACGUAUUAUUGAUGUGACUGUCCGGGCCCAGUGAUCCCACUUGACAGCCCAGGGAGGCCUGGGAAGUUCAUCACCUAUCCGCCUCAUUCUCUAUGUCCACUGUUGUAGCCACCUACAGAGGCAAGCCGGAGCUAGCAUGGUCUGUUCACUUUUGUGAGGGACCAGAAGUCACACACCAAACCUGAUUAAGGAGCAAGAGAUCGUGUGACCGCUGACAUUCAUCCCCACACCUGUGCCUCAGGCUACAGGAAUGACGUCAGACUCUGAUGGGCCAGAUUCCAGCAUAAUUGUCUGGAUGGUGAAUAUUGAACUCUCAGAUCCACAGUGUCCAGGAAGGAGACCACAAGCUACACACGGCUUCUGAGCAGUUAAAAGGUGCUGACUGCCAAAAUCCAUAAGGCAUUGCCAAGACUUCAAAGGAUCAUGAUAAUGAAGACGGCUCUGUAAUGUUUAUAUUGACCACAUGUUGAAGUAAAAAAUAUUUGGAUGCAUGAGAAUAAACAAAUGUAGUAUUAACUCUU